UCUCUUGUUUUUCCUUGUAGCCGAGCAACAAUAUAUAUAAAGGAGUAGAGCAACGACUAUGUCAUGUAACGUUCCAAUCCAAGCAAUGGCUAAUUCUUUUCAAAAGAAGAUAUACGUUAGCAAUAACAGCCUUAGAAGAUAUAUAAGGGAAUACUGCUAUGAAAGAGUCAUAUAAUAUCCAAAGACUAGUUGAAAGAGUCCAACUCACUAUUCGCAUGUAUCCUUAGAAAAAACAACUGUUGUUAGUAACUUUGAAUAAGAGUCUUUAAUUAUACCAAAUCCUAAAAACUCUCCAAGUAUACAUUACUUUGAAACACGUAACCAAAUAUAUAUAUAAG
rnacentral:lncRNA from 1 species